UACGUAGGGCGCAAGCGUUAUCCGGAAUUAUUGGGCGUAAAGAGCUCGUAGGCGGUUUGUCGCGUCGACCGUGAAACCUCACAGCUCAACUGUGAGCCUGCGGUCGAUACGGGCAGGCUAGAGUUCGGUAGGGGAGACUGGAAUUCCUGGUGUAGCGGUGAAAUGCGCAGAUAUCAGGAGGAACACCGGUGGCGAAGGCGGGUCUCUGGGCCGAUACUGACGCUGAGGAGCGAAAGCGUGGGGAGCAAACAGG
rnacentral:rRNA from 1 species